rnacentral:rRNA from 1 species
UACGUAGGGACCAAGCGUUGGUCGGAAUUACUGGGCGUAAAGGGCGCGUAGGCGGCCGCCUAAGUCAGACGUGAAAUCCCUCGGCUCAACCGGGGAACUGCGUCUGAUACUGGGUGGCUUGAAUCCGGGAGAGGAAUGCGGAAUUCCAGGUGUAGCGGUGAAAUGCGUAGAUAUCUGGAGGAACACCGGUGGCGAAGGCGGCAUUCUGGACCGGCAUUGACGCUGAGGCGCGAAAGCCAGGGGAGCAAACGGG